rnacentral:tRNA from 8 species
GCCUGGGUGGCGGAACUGGUAGACGCAAGGGACUUAAAAUCCCUCGGGGGCAACCCCGUACGAGUUCGAUUCUCGUCCUGGGCACCA